AGAGUUUGAUCCUGGCUCAGGACGAACGUUGGCGGCGUGCCUAAUACAUGCAAGUCGAACGAGGUCUCCUAACUGAUAGCUGGUGCUUGCAUCAGCUUGACGAUAGAUCUGACCGAGUGGCGAACUGGUGAGUAACACGUGGGUAACCUGCCCAGAAGAAGGGGAUAACACCUGGAAACAGAUGCUAAUACCGUAUAACAACGAGAACCACAUGGUUCUCGUUUGAAAGAUGGCUUUUAUGCUAUCGCUUCUGGAUGGACCCGCGGCGUAUUAGCUAGUUGGUGAGAUAAUAGCUCACCAAGGCAAUGAUACGUAGCAGACCUGAGAGGGUAAUCUGCCACAAUGGGACUGAGACACGGCCCAUACUCCUACGGGAGGCAGCAGUAGGGAAUCUUCCACAAUGGACGAAAGUCUGAUGGAGCAACGCCGCGUGAGUGAAGAAGGGUUUCGGCUCGUAAAACUCUGUUGUUAGAGAAGAACGACCGUGAGAGCAACUGCUCACGGUGUGACGGUAUCUAACCAGAAAGUCACGGCUAACUACGUGCCAGCAGCCGCGGUAAUACGUAGGUGGCAAACGUUGUCCGGAUUUAUUGGGCGUAAAGCGAGCGCAGGCGGUUUUCUAAGUCUGAUGUGAAAGCCUUCGGCUUAACCGGAGAAGUGCAUCGGAAACUGGAUAACUUGAGUGCAGAAAAGGACAGUGGAACUUCAUGUGUAGCGGUGAAAUGCGUAGAUAUAUGAAGGAACACCAGUGGCGAAGGCGGCUGUCUGGUCUGCAUCUGACGCUGAGGCUCGAAAGCAUGGGUAGCAAACAGGAUUAGAUACCCUGGUAGUCCAUGCCGUAAACGAUGAAUGCUAGGUGUUGGGAGGUUUCCGCCUCUCAGUGCCGCAGCUAACGCAUUAAGCAUUCCGCCUGGGGAGUACGACCGCAAGGUUGAAACUCAAAGGAAUUGACGGGGACCCGCACAAGCGGUGGAGCAUGUGGUUUAAUUCGAUGCUACGCGAAGAACCUUACCAGGACUUGACAUCUUCUGUUAACCUAAGAGAUUAGGUGUCCCC
rnacentral:rRNA from 1 species